rnacentral:rRNA from 1 species
GACGUAGGGCGCGAGCGUUGUCCGGAUUUAUUGGGCGUAAAGAGCUCGUAGGCGGUUUGUCGCGUCGUUCGUGAAAACCCACGGCUUAACUGUGGGCUUGCGGUCGAUACGGGCAGGCUAGAGUUCGGUAGGGGAGACUGGAAUUCCUGGUGUGAGCGGUGAAAUGCGCAGAUAUCAGGAGGAACACCGGUGGCGAAGGCGGGUCUCUGGGCCGAUACUGACGCUGAGGAGCGAAAGCGUGGGGAGCGAACAGG